rnacentral:rRNA from 1 species
UACGGGGGGGGGGUAAGCGUUGUUCGGAAUUACUGGGCGUAAAGGGCUCGUAGGCGGCCAACUAAGUCAUACGUGAAAUCCCUCAGCUUAACUGGGGAACUGCGUGUGAUACUGGAUGGCUUGGAUUUGGGAGAGGGAUGCGGAAUUCCAGGUGUAGCGGUGAAAUGCGUAGAUAUCUGGAGGAACACCGGUGGCGAAGGCGGCAUCCUGGACCAAUAUUGACGCUGAGGAGCGAAAGCCAGGGGAGCAAACGGG